AACGAACGCUGGCGGCAGGCUUAACACAUGCAAGUCGAACGCGUGUAGCAAUACACGAGUGGCGCACGGGUGAGUAACGCGUGGAUAUCUGCCUUUUGGUUCGGAAUAACUCCGGGAAACUGGAGCUAAUACCGGAUGGUUCCUUCGGGAUAAAGAUUUAUCGCCAAAAGAUGAGUCCGCGUACGAUUAGCUAGUUGGUGAGGUAAUGGCUCACCAAGGCGACGAUCGUUAGCUGGUCUGAGAGGACGAUCAGCCACACUGGGACUGAGACACGGCCCAGACUCCUACGGGAGGCAGCAGUGGGGAAUAUUGGACAAUGGGGGCAACCCUGAUCCAGCCAUGCCGCGUGAGUGAUGAAGGCCUUCGGGUUGUAAAGCUCUUUUGGCGGGGACGAUGAUGACGGUACCCGCAGAAUAAGCCCCGGCUAACUUCGUGCCAGCAGCCGCGGUAAGACGAAGGGGGCUAGCGUUGUUCGGAAUUACUGGGCGUAAAGCGAGUGUAGGUGGUUGUCAUAGUCAGGUGUGAAAGCCUUGAGCUCAACUCAAGAAAUGCACUUGAUACUGGGCGACUAGAGGACCGGAGAGGAUAGUGGAAUUCCCAGUGUAGUGGUGAAAUACGUAGAGAUUGGGAAGAACACCAGUGGCGAAGGCGGCUAUCUGGACGGUUUCUGACACU
rnacentral:rRNA from 1 species